rnacentral:rRNA from 1 species
UACGAAGGGGGCUAGCGUUGUUCGGAAUUACUGGGCGUAAAGCGCACGUAGGCGGGCGAUUAAGUCAGGGGUGAAAUCCCGGAGCUCAACUCCGGAACUGCCUUUGAUACUGGUCGUCUAGAGAUCGGAAGAGGUGAGUGGAAUUCCCAGUGUAGAGGUGAAAUUCGUAGAUAUUGGGAAGAACACCAGUGGCGAAGGCGGCUCACUGGUCCGAUACUGACGCUGAGGUGCGAAAAGCGUGGGGGAGCAAACAGG